rnacentral:rRNA from 1 species
UACGUAGGGUGCAAGCGUUGUCCGGAAUUAUUGGGCGUAAAGAGCUCGUAGGCGGUCUGUCGCGUCGGCUGUGAAAACUCGGGGCUCAACCCCGAGCCUGCAGUCGAUACGGGCAGACUAGAGUGUGGUAGGGGGAGACUGGAAUUCCUGGUGUAGCGGUGGAAUGCGCAGAUAUCAGGAGGAACACCGAUGGCGAAGGCAGGUCUCUGGGCCAUUACUGACACUGGAGAAGCGAAAGCAUGGGGAGCGAACAGG